GUGAUUAAAUCGAGCGUGUCUUCAUUGACCGCUCACCCUUCUCACCAUCCACAUACACCUGUGCACUGUUUAGCCUGAGCCGGUUUUCCGGUCCAGGGUUAUCAUUUCAUACAAACUCUAGUCUUAUGAAUGUAAACGUUUUUAAUAACAUAAUAA
rnacentral:misc_RNA from 1 species